rnacentral:rRNA from 1 species
UACGUAGGGUGCGAGCGUUGUCCGGAAUUACUGGGCGUAAAGAGCUCGUAGGUGGUUUGUCGCGUUGUUCGUGAAAACUCACAGCUUAACUGUGGGCGUGCGGGCGAUACGGGGCAGACUGGAGUACUGCAGGGGAGACUGGAAGUUCCUGGUGUAGCGGUGGAAUGCGCAGAGUAUCAGGAGGAACACCGGUGGCGAAGGCGGGUCUCUGGGCAGUGAACUGACGCUGGAGGAGCGAAAGCGUGGGAGCGAACAGG